rnacentral:tmRNA from 1 species
CACGGUUUCGACGGGGAGGGAGUGACAAAGUUGCACGCGGUGGCGCUUGACCACCAUAAAACGAGCAAACGAUAGUUGCGAACACUCGCACCAACCUCGCGGCUCUUCCCGUCGCGGCGUAAGCCAAAACUGGGAUUGCUAACAGGUUCGUAACCUAGCGUUACGACGUCCGCGCGCGUUCUCCCCCGAAGGAGGCGCGUUGGGCGACACUAAAUCGGGGUGCGCGGAUUGCCACGCCGGUAACGAUUCGCAAAGCGGCGCAAGCCAACCUGGCUCGGCGUUUCCAUCUUUGUCGGUUGAGCCGGGAAACGCGAGAACCAAAAACCGACUAAGCGUGUAGAUACUUUGAGGCAAACUUUUCGGACGCGGGU